rnacentral:rRNA from 1 species
CAGUCGCCGCGGGAAUACGUAGGGUGCGAGCGUUAAUCGGAAUUACUGGGCGUAAAGCGUGCGCAGGCGGUUGUGUAAGACAGGUGUGAAAUCCCCGGGCUUAACCUGGGAACUGCGCUUGUGACUGCACAGCUAGAGUAUGGCAGAGGGGGGUGGAAUUCCACGUGUAGCAGUGAAAUGCGUAGAGAUCGGAAAGAACACCAACGGCGAAAGCACUCUGCUGGGCCGACACUGACACUGAGAGACGAAAGCUAGGGGAGCAAAUGGGAUUAGAGACCCGUGUAGUCCCUGUCUCUUAUAC